rnacentral:rRNA from 1 species
UACGUAGGGGGCUAGCGUUGUCCGGAUUUAUUGGGCGUAAAGAGCGUGUAGGCGGCCAGUUAGGUUUGCUGUGAAAACUCGAGGCUCAACCUCGAGACGUCGGCGGAAACCAUCUGGCUAGAGUCCGGAAGAGGAGAGUGGAAUUCCUGGUGUAGCGGUGAAAUGCGCAGAUAUCAGGAAGAACACCCGUGGCGAAGGCGGCUCUCUGGGACGGUACUGACGCUGAGACGCGAAAGCGUGGGGAGCGAACAGG